rnacentral:tRNA from 1 species
GUCAAGUUAGUUUAAAAAAAAUAUCAGCCUGUGGAUUUGAAGAUGAAAAAAAUUUCACUUGACC